rnacentral:lncRNA from 1 species
UGCUGGCCGUCGACUUCAUCUGUGAGGCAACUUAUCUGGAUUGGCUCGCGAAUGUCAUGAUGGUCAAGAAGGCAAAUGGUAAAUGACGAAUCUACAUCAACCACACUGACUUGAACAAAGCUUGUCCCAAAGACAGCUUCCCACUUCUAUAGAUUAAUCAGCUAGUCGAUGCGACAUUCGACCAUCAACUACUCACUUCAUCGAUGCUUUCUCCGGCUUCAACCA